rnacentral:misc_RNA from 2 species
ACGAAGCCAACGAAGAGGCAGCGCGAAGGAUGAAGUGGAAAAGGCUGAGACCGUUAAUUCGGGAUCCGCGGAACCUGAUCAGGUUAAUACCUGCGAAGGGAACAAGAGUAAUUCUGCUU